UCAAAUAAGCAUUUAUCUUAAACAGCCACGGGUGACAAUUUUAUUUCUUUCAACACAAAAGGAUUCCGUAAACAGUCACGGGUACAACAGUAGGUACAUUCAACAAAGGGCAAUCCGAGCACAAGAAGUACAUAGGACUGUAGCUACCAUUUCUACCAGCAGCAGCAGCAGCCGCCUGAAAGACAAGGAGGUACUACCAAGGAGCUAAACUAACAGCAACCAUCCAUCAUCAAUCGGUGACACUAGCAAUGAGCGACAGCGGCGACAUUUCGAAGACCCCCUCCCCUUGCUGUUGCUUGGCAUGCCACAUCACAAGUCCCCCUACACACAAAAAAUCAGACGUUCAAAACCGAUCAACAUGUUGAGCAGUUAGGGAAUCAUGGAGCAAAUGUUAGUGUGGUCCAAGGCGAUAGAUUACAGGAUAAAUAUUAACAGAAGAAGAAUCGUUGAACAAAUCAUGAGCUAGCUAUCACAGUAUAACUAGCUCCAAUGAGCUAGAAAUCUAUGCUUCUUCCGACUUGAACAUCAUGUACCUCACGGCAAACACAUGCAUGAAGGCUAGCCUCUGCAAGUUAUAAAAAAAUGGUUAGAAACAAAAUAAAAGAAAAUCUAACAGUAUGUUAGACCAAGCAAAAUGUGACAUUUUUAUCAUUUAAGCAUAGAAGGACAAGGUCAACAACAUUUUGAUGUUUAAAAAAUGAACCAGAAUUUCAAUGUUUGAACGGCAAAAAAAUAGAUACAACAGAUCAUAUGCAGUUUAAAUCAGACCCUAAGGACACACACGUUGACACAAAUAUUUGGCAACAAAUGUAGAAAUUGAACUUCAUAAACAUGCAAUGUGGAAUUUGUAUCUCAAAGAAGUAUACAUACUUAUCAGGUUUAAUUAGCACACAGAAGCCAAAUGCUAGUAGCUCAUGAUUAGUACACAAGACAGGAUUCAACAAAGUAAACAAGAAUGUGGCUACAGUACAAUACUAAGCUCAUCACACAGAAUAAAAUGAGUUUAAAAGUAAGCUCAGCAUAAGCAUAUGAGUUUUUUUUGGCACCACCAGAUCAAACAUAGCAAUGCCAAUGUGAAAAGUUUCAGCAUUAUUGCCAUAUGUUUCCUCGGAAUCAUACUACACAGAGAAGGGUUCAGCCUUAAGUCUGAACUAGCCUUACAUGGUGGAGUGCAGAUUUCCUUCUAUACCAGUGGACGUUGAUGGCGUUCCCUUCUUUUUCAGAGGAGGACCCCACAUGCAGUGGCUACAUAAACAAGAAGCGUCAGCUUAAGUUGCAACCCGGAAUAGAAACACUUGCAAAAAUCGGGCACUUAGAGUUUGGCAGGAGUACUACCUUGUGGAUGUCGCCCAUGAAGUUUGAGAGGAACAAGAGCGCUUUCGUCAGGUUAUCUGCAGCAUUCCAUGCAGAAAAAACAUGGCAUCUUCAGUACUAAUUCAGUCAACCAGAAGAGAUGUGCUGAAAUUCGUAUGAUGUAACUUAACAUUACCUUGGCUGAAAGAUUUAGAAGAUGGUGAUGGCGAUGAUGAUGAUGAUCCCUAGGUGAGGAGCUGGGAGGUGUAUUUGUUGAUGGCGCCAGCGACGCAGCGGCCCUUGACGCCAUCCUCGUCCUAGUAGGACCCUGAGACAACACAGAGACCAUUAUGCUACAGUUAGUUUCAGUCCAACAAAACAGAGUGUUGGUUAAUUGCUACGUACUGUCGUAGUAGUAGCUGCAGACGUUUUCGGGGACGUCGAUGAAGUGGAGAGGCGCUGACUAGUAGUACCUGAACCUGACCUUGUCGGCCCAGGAGCAGAGGCUGCUCAGGUUGCCGGCGGCGCCCGACGGCAGCAGCUCGUUCACUGCUUUCGCCGCCGCAUCGCUCAGCCGACCUUCCAAGGGAGCAGCAUGGUGCGUCGUGGUCCCUUCAUCUGGAGUCGCAAGUCGGAGUUGUGGGCUGCUGCUUUGCUUCCCCAUAUAGCACACCAGGUUCUCCUAAGAUAGUGAACUGAAAACACAAAACAUGAUUAGGGAGUUGGUACAUAAGAAAAGGAAUUCAUACAUGAAUGGCAUAUACAACUAAAAAAAUCAGGUGUCACAUAUUAUUAGAAUUGCAUAUUAGAUGGCUGCAAGGUAAGUGUUUCUUCAUAUAAAAUAACUAGAAUUAGCACCCAACAGGAUCCAUUCCAUGCGUAGGAUCCUUUGUAUGUGGUUGCCUUUUUUGUUGCUUUAUCACAUAUUCUGGCAGUAAAAAAAAAGGACUUCAUUAUCUAAAUCUAAUAUCAACUAGCCCGAACUUGAACAAUAGAUUGGGCAUAGCAUACUAAUCAAGGAAAGACUUGGCAUGCACUGACCAAGUCAUGCAGCAUCUUUCAGCAUACAUAAAUUUCUUUGUGUCCAAAGAAGCCCUAAAUCAUUUCACAUCUUAAUUAAUUCUUUUUUGUUGGGAAAAAUAAAUACUUUGCAGGGCCACUUCUUAACUCUCGUUUCAUCAGAUGCACUGAUAGUGUCUAAACUUGAUCACCAUUUUCAGACCUGUCCUUGAACUAAAGUGUAUAUUUAGUUGGUCUGGAAAAAAAGACCACGCCCAGAUUUUGUAGAUACAAAGUACCUCGCCACUAUGUUGUGAAGUAAUAGGUUGGCAUGGUGUGAGAUGUAUCCUAUGGCGGCACACGGCACAUGAACCAUCAGUUCACUAUUUCAGUUCUCAGUGAGGACAUGCCUGUAAUGCGCUAGACAAAAGAUAGGCCGUCGACAAAUUCAGCCUGCAAUGGCAAUCAACACACACUUCUACGGCCUAUUUGGUGAGAUAAAAACUCAUUUGCGAACUCUCAGUGUGAGCAGCACACAAAAUUGUAGGUGAACUACACAUUCACGUGUAUAAAGAAGAGAAGCCACUGGAUUUUAAUCAUGAACAGUUAAACAAAAUUGUAGGUGAACAGCACACAAAACAUUUUAUGAAGUUUCUCCAAUGACUGAAAAUUGUAUUUUAUGUAUAGGAAAAAAACCAAGGCAUUGCAAUCAUUCUCAAUAAGUACACAACAAUGUAUCCCUACAAAAACAUCCUAACAUGGAUCAUGGCUGCUGCCUACCAUGGUAAAUGCUAGACUCUCUCUAAUGGUCUAAAUCACGCAAUGAAGGUUACAAUUAGCCUAUCGGAUGCACGUUACAGGAGUUUGAAGUUCGAAGGUUGUGAUUUACCAUGAAAUCAGAAGGAAAGCUCGAUAGAUUAGCACGCCAAUUUGUCCUGCAGAUGGCACCAUGGGUUUUCCGCCGGGUCUGUCCUGCAACCAACACAACCCAUCCAUCAGAGAAAUGCAUCAGGGAAUGGAAUGGAGGGAAAGGGGAGGGAAGAAGAGGAAAUCAAGAGAGGGGGCAGACCUUGGAUGCUUCUUGUACGUUCUUGUGCUGGAGGAAGAAGGAGCUUCACGCGCACAAGAUCCAUGGCGUCCCGGAUAGAGCAAGCUCCGCUCCAUGACGCCUACCAACACAAACGACACGAGGCGAGGGUCGGAGUGGGAAAUAAGAAGGAGAGGAGAUGAGUUGGGAUCCUUACCAUACCACCGUUGUCCGAGUCCUAGUCCUGCACCCCCGGUCGGUCGCCAUGGCCGUGCCCCGACAUCUAGGGUUUCCGGCGCAAGGAGGGAGAAGAUCUGGCCAUGGGCAACGUUGCUCGAGAGGAUCUACGGAGAGGGGGAGGAGGGGAGAGGGCGCCAGCGGUGGAGUGAAGGCCGGGGUUGGGGAAGACAACGGAGGCCGGCGGCGGCUGGCUCUGCCUUUGGCAUUGGGGAUCUAGAGUGGAAUUGGGUGGUCACUCGUGGCCAGUAGAGAGAUGGAGGAGGCCGGUGAAGCAGCGGCAGUUGGGAUCGACUGCUAGGGUAGGGAACGAUGAAGCGGCGUGUAUAGAAGCACGCGCACACCGGCGAGCCAUCCGGCCAUGGCUGCUAGGCGGUGGUGCAUCUAUCAACGGUGAGGUUGGGUGGCUCUCUCGAUCUGCUGCGGGGAUGAAUGGAACUGGAAGGGUGGUGGAUGGGAGGAGGGGCGGCGGAGGAGGGAUCUGGAUCAGGGAGAGGGAGGAAGAGGGAGGCGGUAGCGCUUGACCUAGGGUUUUUCGGGAAAGAAGGGGAUCGAGGAAGGAGGGUGUGCCGCGCGCGUGUGUUUAGGAGAGGUUAGCAAGAGAUGUUGGGUUCGUGGGAGGUGGACGACUCAGAUCGACUGCGGUGGGAUGAUCCGUGGACUGCGUCCUGAUUGGUUAGAAACAUGAGCUAUCAAAAAUAACUCUAUUUCUUAGUGCUAAAAACAAGGGGGUUGUGAAGUUGCUAUCAAAAAUAUUUUGCAAAAUGGUAUCACUAAAAUUUUCACUUAAGUUAGACCAUAUUUUAUGGAUGAUCACCAAUUUGAUUGCAUUUCUCAUCAUUCUAGCUACGAACGGUCAUGCUCGCCAUUUUGACCGCAUUUAAAUGUGCAUAAUAAUUUAUAAAAAUAAAAA
rnacentral:lncRNA from 1 species